UUACUUACCUGGGCGGGGUCGAUCCAUGAUCAGGAAGGUGGAUGGCCUAGAGGAACCUGCCCCAUUGCACUAUCGGGCCGGGUGACUCUAGUAUCUCUCUACGGAGGGCAUACACGUCAUAAUUUGUGGCAGAGGGGGCUCGCGUCCGCGCGGCCCCCAC
rfam:Physcomitrella patens subsp. patens PHYPAscaffold_227 genomic scaffold, whole genome shotgun sequence.